CGGGGGGUAGUUCAGGAGGAGAACGCUGUCUUCGGGAGACAGAGGUCGCGGGUGCAAAUCCCGCCCCCCCGA
rnacentral:tRNA from 1 species